CUCAUCACCAGCGAGGUUAAGUACUUCAGGUACGUAAGCCGAAGCGAAAGCGAGUCUGAAUAGGGCGUCAAGUUGGUGGUGGUAGACGCGAAACCUUAGUGAUCUACCCAUGGGCAGGGUGAAGGUUUGGUAACACAAACUGGAGGCCCGAACCGGUAAACGUUGAAAAGUUUUCGGAUGACCUGUGGGUAGGGGUGAAAGGCCAAUCAAACUGGGAAAUAGCUCGUACUCUCCGAAAUGCAUUUAGGUGCAGCCUCUGUUGUUUUGUUCUAGAGGUAGAGCUACUGAUUGGAUGCGAGGGCUUCACCGCCUAUCAAAUCCGGCCAAACUCCGAAUGCUAGAACAUGAAGACAGGGAGUGAGCCAGCGGGUGCUAAGGUCCGUUGACGAAAGAGGGAGAACUCAGACCAUCAGCUAAGGUCCCCAAUUGUAUGCUAAGUUGGAAUUAAAACGGGGUGGGACUGCUUAGACAGCUAGGAUGUUGGCUUGGAAGCAGCCAUUCAUUUAAAGAGUGCGUAACAGCUCACUAGUCGAGCGGUCCUGCAUGGAUAAUACGCGGGCAUAAGCAUAUAACCGAAGCUAUGGGAUUGUAGAUGAUACAAUCGGUAGGAGAGCAUUCCAUUCAGCAUAGAAGCAGUACCGUGAGGUAUUGUGGAGCGGAUGGAAAAGCAAAUGUAGGCAUAAGUAACGAUAAUGCGGGUGAGAACCCCGCACGCCGAAAGAUCAAGGAUUCCCCGGCAAUGUCAAUCAUCCGGGGGUAAGUCGGAUCCUAAGGGUAAGCCGAGUGGCGAUCCCGAUGGCAAACAGGUUAAUAUUCCUGUACUGAUCAUAACUGCGAUGCAGCGACGCAGAGGUGACACUGCUGCGUACUGACGGAAUAGUACGUUGAAACCCGUAUUCUUUGAUACCGGUAGUGAAGCACGCCGGUAGAGAUGAAAGGUGAUAGUACCGCAAUGCUUCGGUUGCGCGGAUAACGCAGGUAAGCUGACUGCCAAGAAAACCUGCUAAGCUUCAGGUAAUGAUCAUCCGUACUGUAAACGGACACACGUGAUCAGGUAGAAAAUACUAAGGCGUCGAGAGAUUCAUGGUUAAGGAACUAGGCAAAAUGGUCCUGUAACUUCGGGAUAAAGGACGCUCUUGUGAAAGAGCCGCAGAUAAUAGGCCCAGGCGACUGUUUACCAAAAACACAUGGCUAUGCUAAUUCGCAAGAAGAUGUAUAUGGCCUGACACCUGCCCGGUGCCGGAAGGUUAAGAGGAGAGCUCAGAGCAACUCGAAGGUUUGAAUUGAAGCCCCGGUAAACGGCGGCCGUAACUAUAACGGUCCUAAGGUAGCGAAAUUCCUUGUCGGGUAAGUUCCGACCUGCACGAAUGGUGUAACGAUCUGGGUACUGUCUCAACCAUGAGCUCGGUGAAAUUGUAGUUCCGGUGAAGAUGCCGGAUACCCGCAACGGGACGGAAAGACCCCGUGAACCUUUACUACAGCUUUGCAUUGAUUUUGGGUAACAGAUGUGUAGGAUAGGUCGGAGGCUUUGAUGCUGCGUCGUCAGGCGUAGAGUAGCCGUCGUUGAAAUACGACCCUUUUGUUAUCUGAGGUCUAAUCCCGUUAGGGAGACAUUGCAUGGUGGGUAGUUUGACUGGGGUGGUCGCCUCCAAAAGUGUAACGGAGGCUUCUCAAGGUACCCUCAAGGCGUUUGGUAAUCGUCUGCAGAGUGCAAUGGCAUAAGGGUGCUUGACUGUGAGACCGACACGUCGAUCAGGUUGGAAACAAGAGCAUAGUGAUCCGGUGGUUCCGCAUGGAAGGGCCAU
rnacentral:rRNA from 1 species